rnacentral:lncRNA from 1 species
CGGCUCCAGCCAGGGGUCAGCCCCGACAGGGAGCCCGCCAGGAAACCCCCGCCGCCGCCGCCGCCGCCGCCGCCGCCUCCACCGCCGCCACCACCCCCUCCGGUGAGCUGGAGAAACAGGAGCGGGGCUGGGCGCCCCCAAACUCUCCCGCCACCUCCUCCUCGGGGACUGGUGGCGCCCCGGAUGGAGGCUUCCCUGGCUACCUCACCAGCACCCAGGACAAGAUCCGGAGCGGUGGCAGAUCAACACCUGCUGUCCAUGGCCACUCAGCGCCCUUCGAGUACGGCAGCAGCAUCCGGCGGGCAGAAAGCAGGGUCAAGCUCAACUCUGCCAACUUCACUGCCUCCCAAGGGCCAGGUCUGGACACAGACUUUGGAGCUAGCGCCGGUGUCUCGGUGAGAAUCUUGUCCUCCGACAGCGAGGAAAGCCCCCAAACCCCCCUGUUGCAUCGCCAGCGGUCGGGACGACUGGAGUGGGACUACUAUGACCCCAGCUACCAGACAGCAGCUCCGCUCCACCAUCAGCUGCCCCCCAUCGGCAGCAAACAAUACUGGCUGUAGCACAAGGGCAGCCACGGUCUGAGGGGUGGUGGCGAGAG